rnacentral:tRNA from 1 species
GGCGCAGUGGACGAAAUGGGAGAGUCACCGCGUCUUCACCGCGGGGUUUGCGGGUUCGAGUCCCGUCUGCGCUGCGA